ACUGAUGAGUGGCCAGGACCAGAAAAAAGGUUGAGUAGGUGGACUAGUCUUGCCCCGCCCCUUCACUACCUGUGGAGGAAGGAAGACCGUGUCUUACAGCUACUCUCUGGUAAAGAAAAGCAGGAGAUGGUCAAGAGAUUAUGGCAGCGAGCAAACCUCCCGUGAACAAGUUAUACAACUCCAUCCUCGACACUGUCCUGGUGUACGGGCUGGACGAGCACACAAGAGGAUUGAAUAUUGACCAACAAGGAGUAAGCACCCUCUCUUUCACUGAGCAAUCUCUCUCUUUGUAUGGCUAC